rnacentral:lncRNA from 1 species
GAAUCGACGAUCGGCUCCAUUAGACUUGAUCUAGGGUAUUUGAAAUUUCUAGAAAAUAAUUUUUGCGAUUUUUCGAUAUCAUUUACCUAGUGAUCGAAAGGAUUCAAAAUCAAUAAUUUUUAAUGGUUGAUAUCUGCCGUUUUCAAGUUUAACGGUGUAGAAGUAUUCAAAUCAGAUAAAAUUUUGAUACAAAAUUCUUUAUACUAUCUACAACAAGAUCAAUAUUUCUGAUCGAAAAUUUUAGUGCUAUAUCACCACUUUUUAUAGGAUUUUUAUUUUCAGCCGUUAAAAAUUAUUGAUUUUGAAUCCUUUCGAUUGCUAGGUAAAUGAUAUCGAAAAAUCGCAAAAAUUAUUUUCUAGAAACUUCAAAUACACUAGAUCAAGUCUAACGGAGCCGAUCGUUGAUUUGAAAAUUUCAUCAUCGAAAACGGCUCAGGAGUAAGGAGGCCUCCGUGCUCCUAAGAGCACAGCAGUCCUGCUAUAUAUAUAUAUAUAUAUAUAUAUAUAUAUAUAUAUAUAUGGCUGGGGCUACUAUACUCUUAUGAGUAUAGAUUUCCUUGUACUUAUAAAUUUUUAAUCGUUGAUUAAUGAGAUGUGUGGUUCGGAUGAUGGUGGUCCCUACUUAGAAUGAUAGUAGUCCCCUAGGGUUAAGUGGGUAGUUGGUUGAAUAGUAUGAUCUAACGGGUGGAAAUGAUCAAUGGAAUAAAUCUAAGAGCCGAAAAUUUAUACUCAUAAGAGAG